UAACAGGUUUCCGUAGGUGAACCUGCGGAAGGAUCAU
rnacentral:rRNA from 1 species